ACCUAGACAGUGGGCCCACCUCCCAGCCACCGCCCUCUGCCUUUGUGACGUCAGAGCCUGGUGGGGCCAGAGCGCAGCAGGGCAGUGCGUGGACCCUUCUAGCGGCUUCCCUCCUGAUACCAACGGGACAGCCCCCUGCUCCAUCAGAGGCACCCUCAGCCAGCCUCCGAUGGGUACACAACAGCCAAGCCACACACGACCCUGAGAGAAAGACCAUGAGGCACCUCUCAACUGUCUUAAAAUUUACGUAUUGUCAGUUAAGCACUGAGGGAAGGACCUUAGAACUCUACGGUCCCACAACAUCUGUGGAAGCCAGCCCCCCCGGUUCCCAUAGCUAGGCCUGAUGUCGAAAUCUGGCUACACCCCAGCCUCUUCUUCAUCCCCCAGAGUCUGCCCAAGCUGCACCCUAAGCAUCCACCAGCAAGAGCUUCAGGCUAGAAGAAGACUGCAGGACCCCUCAACUCUGCAUCUCUGAUAGCGCCAGAAAUCGGAAGAUCACGCUUUCCUCCGGCCGAGCCCCGGCUUCAACUCAAGCCCCCUUGCCAGAUCAUGCUGAAGUCGGGCCUCCUGCCCUGCAGCGAGAGCUUCUGUCUGUCCUUAAGGCCCUCCUCCCGGCCUGCUUCCACAGGCUUCCAGGCAGAAUUGGGGCCUCAGCUUUGGUGUUGGACGGACAGAGAUCCAAGCCUGGCUCUCCACUGGGGCUACGUGCCCCCAAACAUUACUCUGCCACCCUGAGCUUCCAUUCCCUCGGGUAAAACAGGACACGAUGA